rnacentral:rRNA from 1 species
AGCUUGCUAGAAGAUGACGAGUGGCGGACGGGUGAGUAAUGCUUGGGAACUUGCCUUUGCGAGGGGGAUAACAGUUGGAAACGACUGCUAAUACCGCAUAAUGUCUUCGGACCAAACGGGGCUUCGGCUCCGGCGCAAAGAGAGGCCCAAGUGAGAUUAGCUAGUUGGUAAGGUAACGGCUUACCAAGGCGACGAUCUCUAGCUGUUCUGAGAGGAAGAUCAGCCACACUGGGACUGAGACACGGCCCAGACUCCUACGGGAGGCAGCAGUGGGGAAUAUUGCACAAUGGGGGAAACCCUGAUGCAGCCAUGCCGCGUGUGUGAAGAAGGCCUUCGGGUUGUAAAGCACUUUCAGUUGUGAGGAAAAGUUAGUAGUUAAUACCUGCUAGCCGUGACGUUAACAACAGAAGAAGCACCGGCUAACUCCGUGCCAGCAGCCGCGGUAAUACGGAGGGUGCGAGCGUUAAUCGGAAUUACUGGGCGUAAAGCGCACGCAGGCGGUUUGUUAAGCUAGAUGUGAAAGCCCCGGGCUCAACCUGGGAUGGUCAUUUAGAACUGGCAGACUAGAGUCUUGGAGAGGGGAGUGGAAUUCCAGGUGUA